rnacentral:rRNA from 1 species
AAAGACCUUAUGCUUUUGGAGCGGCCGAUGUCUGAUUAGCUAGUUGGUGGGGUAAUUGCCUACCAAGGCGACGAUCAGUAGUUGGUCUGAGAGGACGACCAGCCACACUGGGACUGAGACACGGCCCAGACUCCUACGGGAGGCAGCAGUGGGGAAUUUUGGACAAUGGGCGCAAGCCUGAUCCAGCAAUGCCGCGUGAGUGAAGAAGGCCUUCGGGUUGUAAAGCUCUUUUAGUUGGGAAGAAAAGGCUGUGACUAAUAAUCAUAGCUCAUGCCGGUACUAACAGAAAAAGCCCCGGCUAACUACGUGCCAGCAGCCGCGGUAAUACGUAGGGUGCAAGCGUUAAUCGGAAUUACUGGGCGUAAAGGGU